rnacentral:rRNA from 1 species
CACAAGCGGUGGAUGAUGUGGAUUAAUUCGAUGCAACGCGAAAACCUUACCUACCCUUGACAUGUCCGGAAUCCCGAAGAGAUUUGGGAGUGCUCGCAAGAGAGCCGGAACACAGGUGCUGCAUGGCUGUCGUCAGCUCGUGUCGUGAGAUGUUGGGUUAAGUCCCGCAACGAGCGCAACCCUUGCCAUUAAUUGCCAUCAUUUAGUUGGGCACUUUAAUGGGACUGCCGGUGACAAACCGGAGGAAGGUGGGGAUGACGUCAAGUCCUCAUGGCCCUUAUGGCCAGGGCUUCACACGUAAUACAAUGGUCGGUACAGAGGGUUGCCAAGCCGCGAGGUGGAGCCAAUCCCAGAAAGCCGAUCGUAGUCCGGAUUGUAGUCUGCAACUCGACUACAUGAAGUCGGAAUCGCUAGUAAUCGCGGAUCAGCAUGUCGCGGUGAAUACGUUCCCGGGCCUU